rnacentral:rRNA from 1 species
AUUGAACGCUGGCGGCAGGCUUAACACAUGCAAGUCGAACGAUGAAACCUAGCUUGCUAGGUGGAUUAGUGGCGGACGGGUGAGUACAACUUAGGAAUCUACCUAUUAGCGGGGGAUAGCUCGGGGAAACUCGAAUUAAUACCGCAUACACCUUACGAGGGAAAGGGGCCUAGCCUGCGGGUUAGGUCUCACUAAUAGAUGAGCCUAAGCAAGAUUAGCUAGUUGGUGGGGUAAAAGCCUACCAAGGCGACGAUCUUUAGCUGGUCUGAGAGGAUGAUCAGCCACACUGGGACUGAGACACGGCCCAGACUCCUACGGGAGGCAGCAGUGGGGAAUAUUGGACAAUGGGGGCAACCCUGAUCCAGCCAUGCCGCGUGUGUGAAGAAGGCCUUUUGGUUGUAAAGCACUUUAAGCAGUGAGGAAAAGCUAUAUGCUAAUACCAUAUAGCCGUGACGUUAACUGCAGAAUAAGCACCGGCUAACUCUGUGCCAGCAGCCGCGGUAAUACAGAGGGUGCAAGCGUUAAUCGGAAUUACUGGGCGUAAAGCGAACGUAGGUGGUCAAUUAAGUCAGAUGUGAAAUCCCUGAGCUCAACUUAGGAACUGCAUCUGAUACUGAUAGACUAGAGUAGGUGAGAGGAGAGUAGAAUUCCAGGUGUAGCGGUGAAAUGCGUAGAUAUCUGGAGGAAUACCGAUGGCGAAGGCAGCUCUCUGGCAUCAUACUGACACUGAGGUUCGAAAGCGUGGGUAGCAAACGGG